UACGUAGGGUGCAAGCGUUAUUCGGAAUUACUGGGCGUAAAGCGUGCGCAGGCGGCUUUGCAAGACAGAUGUGAAAUCCCCGGGCUCAACCUGGGAACUGCAUUCGAGACUGCAUUGCUAGAGUAUGGGAGAGGGAAGUGGAAUUUCCGGUGUAGCGGUGAAAUGCGUAGAUAUCGGAAGGAACAUCAGUGGCGAAAGCGACUUCCUGGACCAAUACUGACGUUCAGGCACGAAAGCGUGGGGAGCAAACAGG
rnacentral:rRNA from 1 species